GAUGAAGAACGCAGCGAAAUGCGAUACGUAAUGUGAAUUGCAGAAUUCAGUGAAUCAUCGAGUCUUUGAACGCACAUUGCGCCCUCUGGUAUUCCGGAGGGCAUGCCUGUCCGAGCGUCAUUGCUGCCCUCAAGCACGGCUUGUGUGUUGGGCCCCGCCCCCCGAUCCCGGGGGGCGGGCCCGAAAGGCAGCGGCGGCACCGCGUCCGGUCCUCGAGCGUAUGGGGCUUUGUCACCCGCUCUGUAGGCCCGGCCGGCGCCUGCCGAUCAACCAAACUUUUUUCCAGGUUGACCUCGGAUCAGGUAGGGAUAACCGCUGAACUUAAGCAUAUCAAUAAGCGGAGGA
rnacentral:misc_RNA from 1 species